UACGUAGGGUGCAGGCGUAAUCGGAAUUACUGGGCGUAAAGCGUGCGCAGGCGGUUUGCUAAGACAGGUGUGAAAUCCCCGGGCUUAACCUGGGAACUGCGUUUGAAACUGAAAGGCUAGAGUGUGGCAGAGGGGGGUGGAAUUCCACGUGUAGCAGUGAAAUGCGUAGAGAUGUGGAGGAACACCGAUGGCGAAGGCAGCCCCCUGGGCUAACACUGACGCUCAUGCACGAAAGCGUGGGGAGCAAACAGG
rnacentral:rRNA from 1 species